UACAGAGGGUGCGAGCGUUAAUCGGAAUUAUUGGGCGUAAAGGGCGCGUAGGCGGAUAUAUAAGUUAGCUGUAAAAGACUGUAGCUUAACUACGGAAUAGCGGAUAAUACUGUAUAUCUGGAGGAUGGUAGAGGGCAGUGGAAUUUCCGGUGUAGCGGUGAAAUGCGUAGAUAUCGGAAGGAACACCAGUGGCGAAGGCGACUGUCUGGGCCAAACCUGACGCUGAGGCGCGAAAGCAUGGGUAGCAAACAGG
rnacentral:rRNA from 1 species